rnacentral:rRNA from 1 species
AUACAUGCAAGUAGAACGCUGAAGAGAGGAGCUUGCUCUUCUUGAAUGAGUUGCGAACGGGUGAGUAACGCGUAGGUAACCUGCCUUGUAGCGGGGGAUAACUAUUGGAAACGAUAGCUAAUACCGCAUAACAAUGGGUGACACAUGUCAUUUAUUUGAAAGGGGCAAUUGCUCCACUACAAGAUGGACCUGCGUUGUAUUAGCUAGUAGGUGAGGUAACGGCUCACCUAGGCGACGAUACAUAGCCGACCUGAGAGGGUGAUCGGCCACACUGGGACUGAGACACGGCCCAGACUGCUACGGGAGGCAGCAGUAGGGAAUCUUCGGCAAUGGGGGCAACCCUGACCGAGCAACGCCGCGUGAGUGAAGAAGGUUUUCGGAUCGUAAAGCUCUGUUGUAAGUCAAGAACGAGUGUGAGAGUGGAAAGUUCACACUGUGACG